GAACCUUACCUGGUCUUGACAUCCUGGGAAUCCCGUAGAGAUAUGGGAGUGCCGCAAGGAACCCAGAGACAGGUGCUGCAUGGCUGUCGUCAGCUCGUGUCGUGAGAUGUUGGGUUAAGUCCCGCAACGAGCGCAACCCUUGUCCUUAGUUGCCAUCAUUUAGUUGGGCACUCUAAGGAGACCGCCGGUGACAAACCGGAGGAAGGUGGGGAUGACGUCAAGUCAUCAUGGCCUUUAUGACCAGGGCUACACACGUGCUACAAUGGUAGAUACAGAGGGAAGCCAACGCGUGAGCGGGAGCCAAUCCCAGAAAAUCUAUCGUAGUCCGGAUUGGAGUCUGCAACUCGACUCCAUGAAGUCGGAACCGCUAGUAAUCGCAGAUCAGCAUUGCUGCGGUGAAUACGUUCCCGGGCCUUGUCACACCGA
rnacentral:rRNA from 1 species